rnacentral:rRNA from 1 species
UGUAAGCGUAUACCAAAGUUGUUGCAGUUAAAACGCUCGUAGUCGUAAUUUGGCAGUUCCGGAUGUGUGCACGUCGUGUGCGCACUUCGCGGGGAUUGCUUUUGUGGUCUUGCGUAGGAUGAGGCACUUUUAUUAGUGAACGUCCUCACGCAACCACUUUUUACUGUGAGAAAAUCAGAGUGCUCAAAGCAGGCAUUUGCCGUGAAUGUAUUAGCAUGGAAUAAUAGAAUAGGACUUGGUUCUAUUUUGUUGGUUUGUUGGGACUGAGUAAUGAUUAAGAGGGACAGUUGGGGGCAUUUGUAUUUCGGUGCUAGAGGUGAAAUUCUUAGAUUACCGAAAGACAAACUGCUGCGAAAGCGUCUGCCAAGGAUGUUUUCAUUGA